rnacentral:rRNA from 1 species
AAAUUGAAGAGUUUGAUCAUGGCUCAGAUUGAACGCUGGCGGCAGGCCUAACACAUGCAAGUCGAACGGUAACAGAAAGCAGCUUGCUGCUUUGCUGACGAGUGGCGGACGGGUGAGUAAUGUCUGGGAAACUGCCUGAUGGAGGGGGAUAACUACUGGAAACGGUAGCUAAUACCGCAUAAUGUCGCAAGACCAAAGAGGGGGACCUUCGGGCCUCUUGCCAUCGGAUGUGCCCAGAUGGGAUUAGCUAGUAGGUGGGGUAACGGCUCACCUAGGCGACGAUCCCUAGCUGGUCUGAGAGGAUGACCAGCCAC